CGGUUCUAGUACGUUAUUGUGUGUUUGGUCACGCACGUUCACGGAUUCCGCACGUCGAACGUUCGUUACGCAAUCAAACGAUGUCAAAACCGGUCCUACAAACCGUUCGAUUGCGUAACGAACUUUCGACGUGCGGAAUCCGUGAACGUGCGUGACCGAACACACAAUAACGUACUAGAACCG
rnacentral:pre_miRNA from 11 species